GAUGAACGCUGGCGGCGUGCCUAAUACAUGCAAGUCGAGCGAACAGAUGAGGAGCUUGCUCCUCUGACGUUAGCGGCGGACGGGUGAGUAACACGUGGAUAACCUACCUAUAAGACUGGGAUAACUUCGGGAAACCGGAGCUAAUACCGGAUAAUAUAUUGAACCGCAUGGUUCAAUAGUGAAAGACGGUUUUGCUGUCACUUAUAGACUGAUCCGCGCCGCAUUAGCUAGUUGGUAAGGUAACGGCUUACCAAGGCAACGAUGCGUAGCCGACCUGAGAGGGUGAUCGGCCACACUGGAACUGAGACACGGUCCAGACUCCUACGGGAGGCAGCAGUAGGGAAUCUUCCGCAAUGGGCGAAAGCCUGACGGAGCAACGCCGCGUGAGUGAUGAAGGUCUUCGGAUCGUAAAACUCUGUUAUUAGGGAAGAACAAAUGUGUAAGUGACUAUGCACGUCUUGACGGUACCUAAUCAGAAAGCCACGGCUAACUACGUG
rnacentral:rRNA from 1 species